rnacentral:rRNA from 1 species
GACGUAGGAUGCGAGCGUUAUUCGGAUUUAUUGGGCGUAAAGCGUGCGUAGGCGGCUGUUUAAGUCUGGUGUUAAAGCUAGGGGCUCAACCCCUGUGGUGCAUCGGAUACUGGGCAGCUUGAGUGCGGUAGGGGAAGGUGGAAUUCCGAGUGUAGCGGUGAAAUGUGUAGAGAUCGGGAGGAACACCGGUGGCGAAGGCGGGUCUCUGGGCAAUUCCUGACGCUGAGGCGCGAAAGCGUGGGGAGCAAACGGG